rnacentral:lncRNA from 1 species
GCUGGCCGCACCAUCUUGGUACACUCCAUAACUAGUUAUGCAUCGACCCAUAUACUACGAUAAUAUCUCUUUAGGUACCUUCUGUUCAAGGCCCUUGUGAAUUCCUCUCCUUCGAUCAUCUCCAGUAUGUAUGCGUUUCCCGGAGCGCAUCGGCCAAUUUUAUAUGGCCCUUCCCAAGUGGGCGACCAUUUACCGAACUUGGGAUCUUUAGACCCUAUCGACAACACCAACUUCCAUACCAAAUCUCCUUGGGAGAAUUGCUUGACUUUGACCUUCUUGUCGUACCACCUGGCC